UCGGGUUGUAAAGCACUUUUGUCCGGAAAGAAAUCCCAGACCCUAAUAUGGUGUGGGGAUGACGGUACCGGAAGAAUAAGCACCGGCUAACUACGUGCCAGCAGCGCGGUAAUCGUAGGGUGCGAGCGUUAAUCGGAAUUACUGGGCGUAAAGCGUGCGCAGGCGGUUCGCUAAGACCGAUGUGAAAUCCCCGGGCUUAACCUGGGAACUGCAUUGGUGACUGGCGGGCUAGAGUAUGGCAGAAGGGUGUAGAAUUCCACGUGUAGCAGUGAAAUGCGUAGAGAUGUGGAGGAAUACCGAUGGCGAAGGCAGCCCCCUGGGCCAAUACUGACGCUCAUGCACGAAAGCGUGGGGAGCAAACAGGAUUAGAUACCCUGGCAGUCCACGCCCUAAACGAUGUCAACUAGUUGUUGGGGAUUCAUUUCCUUAGUAACGUAGCUAACGCGUGAAGUUGACCGCCUGGGGAGUACGGUCGCAAGAUUAAAACUCAAAGGAAUUGACGGGGACCCGCACAAGCGGUGGAUGAUGUGGAUUAAUUCGAUGCAACGCGAAAAACCUUACCUACCCUUGACAUGGACGGAACCCUGCUG
rnacentral:rRNA from 1 species